rnacentral:rRNA from 1 species
CCUACGGGAGGCAGCAGCAGGGAAUCUUGCGCAAUGGGCGAAAGCCUGACGCAGCGACACCGCGUGGGGGAUGAAGGCCUUCGGGUUGUAAACCCCUUUCAGGAGGGAUGAAAUUGACAGUACCUCCACAAGAAGGACCGGCCAACUACGUGCCAGCAGCCGCGGUAAUACGUAGGGUCCGAGCGUUAUCCGGAAUCAUUGGGCGUAAAGAGCUCGUAGGCGGUUCAGCAAGUCGGCUGUGAAAGUUCGAGGCUCAACCUCGAAAUUGCAGUCGAUACUGCUGUGACUCGAGUCCGGUAGAGGAGAAUGGAAUUCCCGGUGUAGCGGUGAAAUGCGCAGAUAUCGGGAGGAACACCAGUAGCGAAGGCGGUUCUCUGGGCCGGCACUGACGCUGAGGAGCGAAAGCGUGGGGAGCAAACAGGAUUAGAUACCCUGGUAGUCCACGCCGUAAACGUUGGAUACUAGGUGUGGCGUCCCGAUUAACGGUCGCCGUGCCGAAGCUAACGCAUUAAGUAUCCCGCCUGGGGAGUACGGCCGCAAGGCUAAAACUCAAAGGAAUGACGGAAUCUCGACUGCAGAAACCUU